UUGAUGGAAUAGCACCAACAUAUCAGU
rnacentral:piRNA from 1 species